GACGUAGGGCGCGAGCGUUGUCCGGAUUUAUUGGGCGUAAAGAGCUCGUAGGCGGCUUGUCGCGUCGUCCGUGAAAACCUGCGGCUCAACUGCAGGCUUGCGGUCGAUACGGGCAGGCUGGAGUUCGGUAGGGGAGACUGGAAUUCCUGGUGUAGCGGUGAAAUGCGCAGAUAUCAGGAGGAACACCGAUGGCGAAGGCAGGUCUCUGGGCCACUACUGACGCUGAGAAGCGAAAGCAUGGGGAGCGAACAGG
rnacentral:rRNA from 1 species